UCUUUGCUCAAUAGAUGGCGUUAAGAAAAAUCGAGACUGAUGACUCUAUACCCGUAUAUUCAAUGUACUCUGUGACUUUUUAUUCACUUUGGCGUCAACUGA